rnacentral:lncRNA from 1 species
ACCAGCGGCUUUGCGGAGGAGGAGGCCUGCUCCUGAGACGCCUGGGCUUCUGCUGUCCCCCUGACCAGUGUGCAGAAGACCCUGCCAGCAAUUCAACACGGCACAUUUUUAAGGAGAGUGUUGGGAGCUCCUCUAAGAGAGAAACAACCGAGCCAGGCGGGCUUCUGGCCUUGAGGUCAGAACCCUGAGCUUAGCCAGCUGGGGCUGAAGAGAGGCAGGGGGUGGCAGCGAGCUCAGGGCAGGCGGAGUGGGGAAAAGUCUCUGGGCCCGGCUGGGGUGCAGGGGCUGGUGGGGGUUGGCCCUGCCCGGGAAGGGGCUCUGUGGCCUGAUGCAGCAUGAAUAGUAUGUGCUCUUCCUGCCCACUCUCUGAGCCAAAGCCCUCCAGCUCAGCCCCGAGGGGCCGCCUGCACAGCCUGACGAUCGCUGGAGAUUCGGUCAGCACUGGCCAGGCCCCUGGCUAGCCCCGCGGUCCAAGAGGAGGCUGAGUAGACUCAGAGCUCGGCGACUUAGAAACACUGCAGGGAAGCUGGCCUGGAAGAGCCUCUCCUCGUCUAGGAUAAAUGACCCUGGAGGAUGAGCGCGGUGGAGUCUGCUGAUGGCUUCCUUCCUGCCUUCCUUCCUUCCGGCCUGUGCCAGGCCUCAGGGCUCCGUGAACGGUCACUGCCCGCACAGCACUCAGCACUGAAGGUGCAGGUCCAGCUACUGGGAAGUCCGGUCAGGAGAACGCAGAGCGGGCUGAUGAAAAAGAUCUGAAUACCAUAGGGACCCCCUGAAGGGAGAGCUGCGGCCUUGCUGCAGGGCACGGAAGCACAGCUUGAAAUGUGUCUGUACCAUCCUCUUAAAAACAAGCUGAGAGAAGAGGAGACCGUGGGAACCAACGCCAUGAGCGCAGAGUAAAACCUCCGUGGGGAAGAGAGAAUGGCAACUUGACACGCAGACUGUCCUCCUGCUGUGUGGGAGAAGAGCUUGACAACCCCUCGCCCAGAGAGGAUGGGGGAAGUGACGCUGGGGGGAGAUGUCAGAGAUGAGCAAAGUUCAUACAGACCAAGACUGUGAGCAGUCCGUCUCCCCAGAGGAGAGGCUCAGACCAAAGGAACAGAGCAAUCAAUUCAAGGGAAAAUGAAUAAAAUGAUGCAUAAAGUGAAUCUCCCCCAAUGUCAAAAACAAAUCUGACUCUGGAGGGUUAGAAACUAGAAUGACUGUUAUGUGUGAACAAAGGAAGACAGAAUUGGAAGGAUCCGGGGUGCAUUCCCGCUGGUGACCCCCUCCUCCCCGAAGCCUUCCAGCAAGCCAAUGACACGGCUGUGUGACAAAGCCCCAAGCAAACCCUCUGUCCCCCAGAACUUAACCCAUCUCCUUAGACAGCAGGGGUACCGUGUCUUCCUAACUCCCAGGUUUUAUCAGACUCCUCAGUAUUGAUCGUGAUACCACGGGCUCCUGGGUUCCUCUGCGUCCUCCACACACCAAGGCCAAGACGCCAUGCAGUGUAGAGAAAUUCACCUGCAGGGACCCUGGUAAGGGGUGGAGGCUGGUGGUGUGGGGAGGGGACCAGCAGCAUCCUCCUCUCGUGCAGUGCUCAGGGGGCAGUGGAGACCCCUUCCUGGAGUGAGCCUGCCUCCGACCCUAGCUGCCCUUCCCGGUUGGUGGGAGCAGCCGCGAGCACUGACCUGCCUAACUCGGCGAGCUGUUUCAGAGCGCAGGGCUCGCGGGGUGGAGACGCCGCCCCGAGUUGGAGGCUGCUGUCACAUUCCCAUGACCGCCACAGAAGAACAGACACUGCAGUCGGCCCCUGGGCAGCUGGGCACCAAGCGUGCCGGGACACACGUGCAAUGUGAAAGUGAGCGCUUCCCUUUGCAGAG